rnacentral:lncRNA from 1 species
GGGAGGGAUGGGCAGUGGGGGGGCAGCCCCCCGGAGUUAUGUUUCCAUGGAGAUGUGUUUGAUUCUGCCCCACUGCGGGGGGAGGGGGCCACAACCCCUCCUGUACCCCCCAGGUUGAGGGGGGGGUUGAUCCAGGGGGGUUAUAUUCUGUGGUCACUCGCUCCCACCCCAAAUCCUCCUCUCCUGCCCCCCACACCCGCUGAGCUGUGGGGACAGAAGUCUUCCAGAUGUGGGGGAAAUGGGGGGGGAGGGGCUGCUGUUGCAGAUGUGUGUGGGGGUACCCCAGAUGUGGUAGGUCCCUUUGCAGCAGUGUGUGUGGGGGGUCCCUGACAGUCUGCAACCCCUCCACAUCCAAGUGAUGGGUCCCUGGGGAGUCCCUUUGCCUCCCUGAACCCCAGCAUGUCCCUUCCUGCGGGGAGUACCUCCGCCCCCACGUCCUGCUGGGUCAGCAUGUGGGGUGACCGCUGGCUGACGCCAGUGAGUUCAGUGGGGCGGCUGCCAGCUCCCCUUCCCCACUUAGUACUCAGGGCUCACUUUCUCCCAGCCCUUACUCCUACAGUACUCGGCCCUUACUCUGCCUCCAUCCCCUGUUACUCAGUCCUUAGCCUAGCCCUAUUUCUAUGUUACUCAGCCCUUACUCCUACAGUACUUGACCCUUACUCUGCCCCUACCCCCCUGUUACUCAGUCCUUAGCCCCUACUCACUCAUGUUCCUCGGCCCUUACUCCUAUAUUACUUAGUCCUUACUCUGGCCCUACUUCCAUGUUACUCAGCCCCUACUCCCAAGUUGCUCAGCCCUUACUCUGCCCCAUUCAUGUUACUCUACCCCAUUCUCAUGACACACUCCUCCUACUCCCAUGUUACUCAGUUUCUACUCACACGACACUGUCUAUACUCCCAUAUUACUCAGCCCUUACUUGACCCCCUACUCAGAUGAUACUUAGUCGCACUCAGUCCUUACACACAUGUUACUCGACCCCUACUCACAUCUUACUCAGCUCUUACUUGGCCUGUACUCAACCCCUAGUCAAAUCUUACACAGUCCCUUGGCCUCUUAUUUGGCGCCUACUCAAAUGUUACUCAGCUCUCACUCAGCCCCUCCUGAGAUCUUACUCGGUCCCUCCUCUGCUGUUACACAACUAUUAGCCUGUAGUCAGCCCCUAGCAUGCUCUUGACUCAGCCCCCCCCUCCUCAGUCACUUCCCAGACUCUGCUCAAUCCUUACUCCCAUCCCUAGUCUUUACUUAGUCCUUACUCAGAUGUUACUCCGCAUCCUCUCACUACUAACUUGGCCCCUACUCGACUGUUACUCUCUACUCAGUGUUUGGUCCAUGCUCAGGUGUUACUUGGCCUAACAUUAUUCUGUGGUUACUGAGGCCCUACUCAUCUGUUCCUCAGCCCUUACCCAGUCUGAGUUUACCUGUUACUCCAAUCCCUGCUCAAACCUGACAUAGUCUUUAUUCAGAGAUUACUCCAUCCUUACUUGAGCUUUACUCCGUCCUGAGCUGGUCGCUCACACAUUACUUGUUCCUUACUCCAUAAAUCCAGAGGGUGGUCGGAGUAUCAUGGGGUGAUCUGGAGUAACAGAAAUGAAAUUCACUAGGCCACAGUGAGGGGACUAGGAAGAAUUUUGGCUGUGAGCCGGGAGCUUUGGCUAGCAGGACGCUCUUGCUGACUCAGGUCAGGACGACCUGA